AUUGAACGCUGGCGGCAGGCCUAACACAUGCAAGUCGAACGAGUGGCGCAGGGGAGCAUACUGUCUGGGAAACUCCCUGGGGGAGGGGGAUAACUACUGGAAGCGGUAGCUAAUCCCGCAUACCAUCGGAUGUGCCCAUAUGGGAGUAGCUAGUAGGUGGGGUAAAGGCUCACCUAGGCCACGAUCCCUAGCUGGUCUGAGAGGAUGACCAGCCACACUGGAACUGAGACACGGUCCAGACUCCUACGGGAGGCAGCAGUGGGGAAUAUUGCACAAUGGGCGCAAGCCUGAUGCAGCCAUGCCGCGUGUGUGAAGAAGGCCUUCGGGUUGUAAAGCACUUUCAGCGGGGAGGCGUUACCCGCAGAAGAAGCACCGGCUAACUCCGUGCCAGCAGCCGCGGUAAUUC
rnacentral:rRNA from 1 species